GACGUAGGGGGCAAGCGUUGUCCGGAUUUAUUGGGCGUAAAGAGCGUGUAGGCGGCCAGAUAGGUCCGUUGUGAAAACUGGAGGCUUAACCUCCAGCUGUCGAUGGAAACCAUCUGGCUAGAGUCCGGAAGAGGAGAGUGGAAUUCCUGGUGUAGCGGUGAAAUGCGCAGAUAUCAGGAAGAACACCCGUGGCGAAGGCGGCUCUCUGGGACGGUACUGACGCUGAGACGCGAAAGCGUGGGGAGCGAACAGG
rnacentral:rRNA from 1 species